rnacentral:misc_RNA from 1 species
CUGUGUUCCUCCACAUCCUUAAUCCC